rnacentral:rRNA from 1 species
GGGAGCUUGCUCCCUGAUGUUAGCGGCGGACGGGUGAGUAACACGUGGGUAACCUGCCUGUAAGACUGGGAUAACUCCGGGAAACCGGGGCUAAUACCGGAUGCUUGAUUGAACCGCAUGGUUCAAUUAUAAAAGGUGGCUUUUAGCUACCACUUACAGAUGGACCCGCGGCGCAUUAGCUAGUUGGUGAGGUAACGGCUCACCAAGGCAACGAUGCGUAGCCGACCUGAGAGGGUGAUCGGCCACACUGGGACUGAGACACGGCCCAGACUCCUACGGGAGGCAGCAGUAGGGAAUCUUCCGCAAUGGACGAAAGUCUGACGGAGCAACGCCGCGUGAGUGAUGAAGGUUUUCGGAUCGUAAAACUCUGUUGUUAGGGAAGAACAAGUACCGUUCGAAUAGGGCGGUACCUUGACGGUACCUAACCAGAAAGCCACGGCUAACUACGUGCCAGCAGCCGCGGUAAUACGUAGGUGGCAAGCGUUGUCCGGAAUUAUUGGGCGUAAAGCGCGCGCAGGCGGUUUCUUAAGUCUGAUGUGAAAGCCCCC